CGGACGGGUGAGUAACGCGUGAGAAUCUGCCUUUAGGUCCGGGACAACCACUGGAAACGGUGGCUAAUACCGGAUGUGCCGCAACGUGAAAGGGGAAACCCGCCUGAAGAUGAGCUCGCGUCUGAUUAGCUAGUUGGUGAGGUAAAGGCUCACCAAGGCGACGAUCAGUAGCUGGUCUGAGAGGAUGACCAGCCACACUGGGACUGAGACACGGCCCAGACUCCUACGGGAGGCAGCAGUGGGGAAUUUUCCGCAAUGGGCGAAAGCCUGACGGAGCAAGACCGCGUGAGGGAAGAAGGCUCUUGGGUCGUAAACCUCUUUUGUCAGGGAAGAACACAAUGACGGUACCUGACGAAUCAGCCUCGGCUAACUCCGUGCCAGCAGCCGCGGUAGUACGGAGGAGGCAAGCGUUAUCCGGAAUUAUUGGGCGUAAAGCGUCCGUAGGUGGCUAGUCAAGUCUGCGGUCAAAGACUGGGGCUUAACCCUGGAAAGGCCGUGGAAACUGGCGAGCUAGAGUGCAGUAGGGGUAGAGGGAAUUCCCGGUGUAGCGGUGAAAUGCGUAGAGCUCGGGAAGAAUAUCGGUGACGAAAGCGCUCUACUGGACUGCAACUGACACUCAGGGACGAAAGCUAGGGGAGCGAAUGGGAUUAGAUACCCCAGUAGUC
rnacentral:rRNA from 1 species